UACGAAGGGGGCUAGCGUUGCUCGGAAUCACUGGGCGUAAAGCGCACGUAGGCGGCUUCUUAAGUCAGGGGUGAAAUCCUGGAGCUCAACUCCAGAACUGCCUUUGAUACUGAGGAGCUUGGAGUCCGGGAGAGGUGAGUGGAACUGCGAGUGUAGAGGUGAAAUUCGUAGAUAUUCGCAAGAACACCAGUGGCGAAGGCGGCUCACUGGCCCGGUACUGACGCUGAGGAGCGAAAGCGUGGGGAGCGAACAGG
rnacentral:rRNA from 1 species